rnacentral:rRNA from 1 species
GAUGAACGCUGGCGGCGUGCCUAAUACAUGCAAGUCGAGCGGUAAGGCCCUUCGGGGUACACGAGCGGCGGACGGCUGAGUAACACGUAGGAACGUACCCCAAACUGAGGGAUAAGCACCAGAAAUGGUGUCUAAUACCGCAUGUGGCCCACGGGCUAAAGCUCCGGCGGUUUGGGAACGGCCUGCGUCCGAUUAGCUAGUUGGUAGUGUAAUAGACUACCAAGGCGACGAUCGGUAGCUGGUCUGAGAGGAUGAUCAGCCAGACUGGGACUGAGACACGGCCCAGACUCCUACGGGAGGCAGCAGUAGGGAAUUUUCCACAAUGGGGGCAACCCUGAUGGAGCGACGCCGCGUGCAGGAUGAAGGCCUUCGGGUUGUAAACUGCUUUUAUCUGUGACGAUUAUGACGGUAGCAGAUGAAUAAGGACCUGCUAACUACGUGCCAGCAGCCGCGGUAA